CCUANGGGUGGCAGCAGUCGAGAAUUUUUCACAAUGGGGGAAACCCUGAUGGAGCGACGCCGCGUGGGGGAUGAAUGGCUUCGGCCCGUAAACCCCUGUCAUUCGGGAUCAAUGCUACACACUUAAUACGUGUGGAGUUGAUAGUACCGGAAGAGGAAGGGACGGCUAACUCUGUGCCAGCAGCCGCGGUAAUACAGAGGUCCCAAGCGUUGUUCGGAUUUACUGGGCGUAAAGGGUGCGUAGGUGGUCGGGUAAGUCUGAUGUGAAAUCUCGGAGCUCAACUCCGAAACUGCAUUGGAUACUAUUCGGCUUGAGGAUUGGAGGGGGGACUGGAAUUCUCGGUGUAGCAGUGAAAUGCGUAGAUAUCGAGAGGAACACCAGUGGCGAAGGCGAGUCCCUGGACAACUCCUGACACUAAGGCACGAAAGCUAGGGGAGCAAACAGGAUUAGAUACCCCUNUANUC
rnacentral:rRNA from 1 species